UGUCUCAGAUGGUAAAGAAUCUGCCUGCAAUGCAGGAGACCCAGGUUCAAUCCCUGG
rfam:TPA: Bos taurus chromosome 23, whole genome shotgun sequence.